rnacentral:rRNA from 1 species
CCUACGGGUGGCUACAGUGGGGAAUAUUGGACAAUGGGCGAAAGCCUGAUCCAGCCAUGCCGCGUGUGUGAAGAAGGCCUUCGGGUUGUAAAGCACUUUCAGUGGGGAAGAAAGCCUUGGGGCUAAUACCCUCGAGGAAGGACAUCACCCACAGAAGAAGCACCGGCUAACUCCGUGCCAGCAGCCGCGGUAAUACGGAGGGUGCGAGCGUUAAUCGGAAUUACUGGGCGUAAAGCGCGCGUAGGCGGUCUGAUAAGCCGGUUGUGAAAGCCCCGGGCUCAACCUGGGAACGGCAUCCGGAACUGUCAGGCUAGAGUGCAGGAGAGGAAGGUAGAAUUCCCGGUGUAGCGGUGAAAUGCGUAGAGAUCGGGAGGAAUACCAGUGGCGAAGGCGGCCUUCUGGACUGACACUGACGCUGAGGUGCGAAAGCGUGGGUAGCAAACAGGAUUAGAUACCCUAGUAGU